AGAAACUGAGCCAAGUCUCCAAAGUCACACUCUAGUGAGAUUUUUCACUGGGAUCAGCUGCUGCUCUACAAAUAGGUCCAGCAACCCAUACUGUGGAAGAAAAUUCUCUCUUCACUCCUGCCAGAAGCCAAAAUUUACAGGAAAACAUUUCGAGAGAUGGCACAGGGAUAAUCUUUCCAGUAUCUGUAAAUACAGAGUAAAUGUCCUAGUAACACAGAAGAAGUGGAAAGUUUUAACUUAAUAAAUGCAUAGACAGCAGAAGAUGUUUAAAUAAUAAAUACAGACCAGUUGUAAGGGUUUGAGAGUCCCUGCUAGAAUGACUCCUGAGAUUUGUUUGGCAUUUUUGUGUUUUUAAAUGAUAAUGGAAAAAUGCACAUAACCUUAUGCUUGAUCAAACUUUUCCCCAUACUCAAUUUCUCCACUGACAGUAGUCUACAAGUUAUCCUGUCAGAAUGAGAGUAGCAAAAAAUAGGCUUCUGACAGUAUAAUGUAAGAACAUUUUGUUUGUAGUCAUGUUUCUUUCUGUGCCAAGCAUGUGGCAGGUAGAAAUGCUUUAAUGUGACAGCCCAUUCCUUUACUUUUGUGGCUAAAAGCUCUUCAGUCAAGGCCCAUUGACCCUCUGCUUGUCUAGACAGACAGAGGUGGUUUCACUAUUCAUUUCAGCCAAGACACACAAGAACCUCUGUGUAUGCUGAGGACCAUUCUCCUGCUCAACUUAAAGAAUUGUUCUGAAUGGACUGUAUCUCCUUACACACAAAAAUGGGCUCUGCAGCUCACACGACACAGACUUGUAAUCAGCUCUGUCUAUGGAAGUAUUUGAAAGUCCAUUCAUCAUUCCCUCAAAUCCUAAAAGCCAUCACUGUGAUACAUGAAUUCUUAGGUUUCCUGCUCCUAAUCAGCUGUUCCCAUAGAGGCAGAUCAUAAAGUUGCACCUGGCUUAAAGCUCAUAAGCUGAACCAUUUGGAGCUAUGGGGAAUUGGGCUUCAAAUGCACUUCUAGGUCUAGAAGGAGAUUUUAGGUCACAGAAAGAUGGAGUCACUGCAUGAUCGGGGUUAUAAGGGUGCAGGAGGUUUCCUAGUCAAAGUAGGGUCAAUUAUGAGGUUAGAUCAUGCUGCUUAAAGCUUUAUUGAGUCAGGUCUGGCAAAACUCCAGGAACAGAGAAUGCAGAACCAGUGACUGCACAAUGUGUUCCACUACUCGACUGACCAGUGCUGAUAUUCCAGAUGUCUUCGCAAAGCACAAAUUGGUGCUUUGAGUAGCAUAAAAAAUCCUGCAGAAGUUAAUGGUGAUGAAUCAGGUGACUGAUUUCACAGUCUUCAGAACAGUUUGGAGAUAGAGAACCCCCUAAGGAUCCAUGCAGUAUUUCUUUCCACAUAUGACAGUUACCUAGACACAGCAUUUGUUUUAUGGAGGUGCCCCAGAAAAAUCCUGCCUGUAAAUAAGCCACCCAGCAAACAGUAUAAGGAAAGGUCAUUUCCUUGUGCCUCUGCAGAUGCAGAGUAUCUCUUACCACAGAAAUGUGCAUUAAAAUGAAGCUAUAGAUCUACAGCGUGGGAGGAGAAUGUAAAAAGAAUCGGGAGAAAGACCAAGGUUUCACAUGGAAAUCACAGCACCUUGGAUAUUGUGGUGACAAGCCACAUAAACAUCUUAACAGACAAUUUAAGUGUUCUUUUCAUCUCUCUGAAACAAUCAAAUAAGGCCCAAGAAUUACUAUGAAAAAUUAUAUGAAUGUAAACUGAGAACAGCCUCCAUAUUUUUUCUCCUGUGAAAAACUAAACCAGCUGUUUCAGCUGAUUGUGAGCUCCUGAAAUUCUCAGCGAUCAUCUCCUAACCCAAAAAUGAACCAACCAAAAUGUGACACAUUCUAUGGGAGAAGUCUACUAACUCUGCUAAGUAACUCUUCAAUCUGUGUAUUACAGAAAUCCAGCGUCCAAAGAGCAUAAUUUUGUUGUCCAGAUGUAAAACUCUGCCUUCAAGCUUAGAAGCACAUGAAGUAUACUAUUUCACAUAAAGUCCUUGCCAAACACAGUACUAAAUAACAAAAUAAGUGAGAAAGAUGCUUUCAAGCAAAACAAACUGAAAUGAUGAAGAUCCACUGAGCAAGGCAGGAAAUGCAGAAAACUAACCAAGAAAAUAGUUGCUACAAAGAAAAUUCUAAACAGAGUGGAAAUAACUGAAGUACACACACACCUCAAACUGCUUCUUCUUAUGCAGGACAGUUCACCUUGCAAGAAAAACUGUGUAUUUUGUUUAAGAACAUAACAAGCAUUAGACUUGGCAGACAUUGUUCUCUUCCAAGCUCAACAGAUUCAGAACAAUGUAGGCGAUCCUAAACAUAUUUUCUUCCAUCAUGUUUCAGAUCAAUACAGGCACAAGUACUUCUGGAGAUGCCAGCUUCUAACAAACAAAAAGUGAGCAUCCUCCUUGCUCUUUUGUCAGCAGUCAAGAUGGUAAAAAUACUGCUAUAUCUUCAUAAUUACUGGCACUGAGACUGCUGUGGGAUGUAUAUCCAAAUCACAUGCUACUCUUCCACUUUAUUUCCUCCUUGCCUCUCCUAAAGGCAGUUCUCCAGCUCCACCACCACACUUUAGAUAGUCUUAUUUCCCCAAGGAAAUAGGGAAAGAGUUCAUGUUAUAGAAACAGUCUGCUCUUCUACACAGUUCCAAAACCUCAUUUUGGCUAGUAAGAAACCACAGAAGUCCAAUUCACUUUCCCAUGCAACUCUCCAGACUACAGAGUGGACAUCCAGCUUUUACUAAAAUGGACCAACAACAGAUUUCAGAAGAUAUCAUAUUAAAGCACCCUUUACUUACACAUCUGUUCAUAGGCUGGUUUCCUACAAAUGUAAGGAUCUGAAACAUUUUGUUGCAAACAACUGUACAUACACACCAGAAAGAGCACCAGGCAACUGUAAUGCAGAAGUGAGGCCAUGUUCACAAAUGUAAAGUAAGGCUUCUGAGCUUAAAAAGUCUCUCUAUUGCCAGAACUAAAGAAAAAGUGGUUAUGAUCAGAAAACAUUAUUAUCUGAUCAAUUACAUCAUUGAUAGAAGCCUGUUUGGGUACAAAGGCCGGGUGUUUUGGGUGGACUCUAAAAAGACUGCAUGUUCACCUACAUGGAGACACUCCUAGGCAAGCCAAUCCAUUACACAAAAGGAAAAAGAUAUUUCAGUAAAAGGAUACAUUAUCUCCCCUCAUUUCCUUAUUUUGAUUCUAUUUCAGCAACUUUGUGUAUACAAAGUUCAAAUGUGGCAGCUGUCAUACCCUGACUUAUAGUUUAACAAGUUCAGCCCACCAAAGAUGGACCCCUAUUUAAACAUAUCCUACCUAUGAUCAGCAUCAAGAUGAGGUAAAAAAAACAACACACCAUCCAAAACUCAAUGACAAGAGUAGCUUGCAAGGAUCACUGGCAGAACUAAGGGUGUAUGUUCAAAAAAUGCUACAGUUAAAUCCUGAUGAACUGCUCUGCCCCUCCAAUCCUCAAAAAAAAGCUGAACUUGCAGGCAAGAGAACAUAACAGACAGCAUUUAUCUGAAAUGAAAAAUAAAAAACUGAAGACUACCAAUCGAAUGAAAUGUGGUGAUCUGUACAGAGCCUGGAAUUCAGAAGGACUCCUUUAUGAUUUUCCAGAAAUUUCAGAGGCUGCUGAGGUUGCAGAGGACUACAAUUCAAAACCAAGGACAGCUUAACUUGAGAGCAAGGUAGUUGUUCCUCAUUCACGUGCCCAUCCAUCUCUUGCUGCCUCUGGAAGAAUCACUCCAUUACAGGGAACCUCAGAGAUUUCUAGUAGUCACUGCUUAACUACCAGGUGGUUUAGCCUAUUACUAAAAUAAAUAAUAUCUAUUGUCAAACAAAAGGUCCUUCCAACCCACCACCCUGACUGACAUGCCAAUGGCAAACACCUAUAGAAGACUGUAAGUGCAGGGAGGCACAUAGCUGGACCUGCAUAGUAACCUCUCUCUCUCUGCUUUCUGCAUCUCCAAGAUGUCCAAGCCACUGGAGACUUCUCAGCAGACACUCUGGAAGGAUUUAUCAAUCAUUUUUCUCAUUACUGAGUGAGAAAUUCCAUACCCAAAAGCUCCAGUGGUGAUGUGCUCUGACUUCAAUGCACAACACAAGUAUCUCCUCAUGUCUGUCCCAUAGACUCUUUUAUUCUCUCUGGUUCCCAUACUAUGAGAGACAGUGAGGAGAUAUUCUCUAUUCACACUUUCUCUGCAUUAUUGUUUUACAGACCUUUUUCACAUACUACAUGAGCUGUUUCUCUCCAGAUCAAAAAACCUUAGUCAUUUACUUAUUCUUCAUAUCAAAGAAAAUGAUCACUGACUGAUUAAACUUGGACUGGCUUUUCCUCUGUCAGUCUGGUGCUAAAAGAUGACCAACCUUCUACUGUUCACCUGCAACCUCCCAAGUCAUCCAGGUCUAAUCUGUGGGCCCUUAAUCAAACAGCUCUUCCACAGCACCCUUUUUUUUAAAAA